AGAGUUUGAUCAUGGCUCAGGAUGAACGCUAGCGGGAGGCCUAACACAUGCAAGUCGAACGGGAUUGAGAGCUUGCUCUCAUGAGAGUGGCGCACGGGUGAGUAACGCGUAUGCAACCUACCUUUAACUGAGGGAUAGCCCAUAGAAAUGUGGAUUAAUACCUCAUAGUUCUGAACUUCCGCAUGGGAAAUCAGAUAAAGCUCCGGCGGUUAAAGAUGGGCAUGCGUGACAUUAGCUAGUUGGUAAGGUAACGGCUUACCAAGGCUACGAUGUCUAGGGGUUCUGAGAGGAUGAUCCCCCACACUGGUACUGAGACACGGACCAGACUCCUACGGGAGGCAGCAGUGAGGAAUAUUGGUCAAUGGGCGCAAGCCUGAACCAGCCAUCCCGCGUGAAGGAUGAAGGCCCUAUGGGUCGUAAACUUCUUUUAUACACCAAGAAAAACACCCACGUGUGGGUGCCCGACGGUAGUGUAUGAAUAAGCAUCGGCUAACUCCGUGCCAGCAGCCGCGGUAAUACGGAGGAUGCAAGCGUUAUCCGGAUUCAUUGGGUUUAAAGGGUGC
rnacentral:rRNA from 1 species